UGACCUAUUUUUUGAAUCAAUUAAUCAAUUGAUGUCUAAGGAAUGUUUCAAGUAUGGUGGUAAUUUAAUUGAUUUCGUUGCUGGUCUGGCCAAUUUUAUUGAUGUCUAAGAAAAGCAAUGGAAGGACUCCCACCAAUCUUAACACUUUUCUGAUCAAUUAAAUUAGUUUGAAUCUUGAAUGAAGGUAGCACAGUAUUUUAAACACUGCUAGGGGCCUUCCUGUUAGAUGUGUGCCCUAGAUGCC
rnacentral:lncRNA from 1 species